CCUAAGGUAGCGAAAUUCCUUGUCAGGUAAGUUCUGACCCGCACGAAAGGUGUAACGAUUUGGGCGCUGUCUCGGCAGCAGACUCGGUGAAAUCUUAGUACCUGUGAAAAUGCAGGUUACCCGCAACUAGACGGAAAGACCCCAUGGAGCUUUACUGCAGCCUGAUAUUGAAUUCUGGUCAUACAUGUACAGGAUAGGUGGGAGACAAAGAGACGUGCACGCCAGUGUACGAGGAGUCGACGUUGGGAUACCACUCUUGUGUGACCGGGGUUCUAACCUGGUAUCGAGAACAGGUACGGGGAGAGUGUCAGGUGGGCAGUUUGACUGGGGCGGUCGCCUCCCAAAGAGUAACGGAGGCGCCCAAAGGUACGCUCAGAUUGGAUGGAAACCAAUCGUCGAGUGCAAUUGCAGAAGCGUGCUUGACUGUGAGACAGACAAGUCGAACAGGGACGAAAGUCGGGAAUAGUGAUCCGGCGGUGCCGAAUGGAAGGGCCGUCGCUCAACGGAUAAAAGCUACCCUGGGGAUAACAGGCUGAUCUCGCCCAAGAGUUCACAUCGACGGCGAGGUUUGGCACCUCGAUGUCGGCUCAUCGCAUCCUGGAGCUGGAUUCGGUUCCAAGGGUUGGGCUGUCCGCCCAUUAAAGCGGUACGCGAGCUGGGUUCAGAACGUCGUGAGACAGUUCGGUCCCUAUCUGUUGUGGGCGAAGGAGAUCUGCGGAGAGCUGUCCUCAGUACGAGAGGACCGGGAUGGACCUACCGCUGGUGCACCGGUUGUUCCGCCAGGGGCAUAGCCGGGUAGCUAAGUAGGGAAAGGAUAAGCGCUGAAAGCAUCUAAGCACGAAGCCUACUCCAAGAUGAGAUCUCCCAUUCGCAAGAAGUAAGACCCCUUAAAGACGAUAAGGUAGAUAGGCCAGGGAUGGAAGUGCAGUGAUGUACGGAGUUGACUGGUACUAAUCGGUCGAGGACUUAAUCAG
rnacentral:rRNA from 1 species